rnacentral:rRNA from 1 species
AGCAGCCGCGGUAAUUCCAGCUCCAAUAGCGUAUAUUAAAGUUGUUGCAGUUAAAAAGCUCGUAGUUGAAUUUCGGGGUCAGUAGGUUGGUCGUGCCACUGGUAUGUACUGGUCUCACUGAUUCCUCCUUCCUGAUGAACCGUAAUGCCAUUAAUUUGGUGUUGCAGGGAAUCUGGACUGUUACUUUGAAAAAAUUAGAGUGUUUAAAGCAGGCUAACGCUUGAAUACAUUAGCAUGGAAUAAUGAAAUAGGACGAUCGAUCCUAUUUUGUUGGUUUCUAGGAUUGACGUAAUGAUUAAUAGGGAUAGUUGGGGGCAUUAGUAUUCAAUUGUCAGAGGUGAAAUUCUUGGAUUUAUUGAAGACUAACUACUGCGAAAGCAUUUGCCAAGGAUGUUUUCAUUAAUCAAGAACGAAAGUUAGGGGAUCGAAGACGAUCAGAUACCGUCGUAGUCUUAACCAUAAACUAUGCCGACUAGGGAUCGGAUGAUGUUAAUUUUUUAAUGA